UACGGAAGGCAGCAGUGGGGAAUAUUGCACAAUGGGCGAAAGCCUGAUGCAGCUAUGCCGCGUGUAUGAAGAAGGCCUUAGGGUUGUAAAGUACUUUCAUCGGGGAGGAAAAACAAAACUAAUAAUUUUAUUUCUUGACGUUACCCGAAAAAGAAGCACCGGCUAACUCCGUGCCAGCAGCCGCGGUAAUACGGAGGGUGCUAGCGUUAAUCAAAAUUACUGGGCGUAAAGAGCACGUAGGUGGUUUUUUUAAAGUCAGAUGUGAAAUCCCUGGGCUUAACCUAGGAACUGCAUUUUGAAACUGAAAUACUAGAGUAUCGUAGAGGGAGGUAGAAUUCUAGGUGUAGCGGUGAAAUGCGUAGAUAUCUGGAGGAAUACCUGUGGCGAAAGCGGCCUCCUAAACGAAUACUGACACUGAGGGUGCGAAAGCGUGGGGAGCAAACAGGGAUUAGAUACC
rnacentral:rRNA from 1 species